GGUGACGUGGAGCAAACCUCNGAAAGCCAAUCUCAGUUCGGAUUGUAGGCUGCAACUCGCCUACAUGAAGUUGGAAUCGCUAGUAAUCGCGAAUCAGAAUGUCGCGGUGAAUACGUUCCCGGGUCCUUGUACACACCGCCCGUCACACCACGAGAGUUUACAACACCCGAAGUCAGUGGCCUAACCGCAAGGAGGGAGCUGCCUAAGGUGGGGUAGAUGAUUGGGGUGAAGUCGUAACAAGGUACC
rnacentral:rRNA from 1 species